rnacentral:rRNA from 1 species
AACGAACGCUGGCGGCGCGCCUAAUACAUGCAAGUCGAGCGAGAAGGUGUAGCAAUACACUUGUAAAGCGGCGAACGGGUGAGGAAUACAUGGGUAACCUACCCUCGAGUGGGGAAUAACUAGCCGAAAGGUUAGCUAAUACCGCAUACGAUUCCAGGACUUCGGUUUUGGAAGGAAAGCACUACCGUGGGUAGUGCGCUCCUGGAUGGGCUCAUGUCCUAUCAGCUUGUUGGGAGGUAAUGGCUCACCAAGGCUUCGACGGGUAGCUGGUCUGAGAGGACGAUCAGCCACACUGGCACUGCGACACGGGCCAGACUCCUACGGGAGGCAGCAGUAAGGAAUAUUGCGCAAUGGGCGACAGCCUGACGCAGCGACGCCGCGGUGGGGGA